rnacentral:tRNA from 1 species
GGAUGGGUGGCAGAGUGGUCGAUUGCGGCGGUCUUGAAAACCGUUGAGGGGAGACCCUCCGGGAGUUCGAAUCUCUCCCCAUCCGCCA